GAGCUGUGAUAGCUGAAGUAUUGCUUUACAUGGAUACCACAUUAAAAUGCUUUAUUGACUAAAUUGUGUUUUGUUGGAUGUGGCAAAAGGGCAACUGGAGUUCCUCACAUGCCUGGAAAGUACAAGUUGAAUAGAACUCUUUUACUAAAGGUCAUAGGACUCUUCACAACCAUAAGGAGCCUCCAGGAUAGAACUAUACUUAUUAACACAGUAUUGUGCUACUUUACCAAUGACUUACAAAGGAGGAACAAGGAAGAAGACACCUGGAAGACUUCUCUUUUAAAAAGUGAACUACUGUAUGUCUUUAACAUGCAGAAUGCAAAGUCUUCAUUUUGCACACAGGAACAAUGGUAAAACUCUGAUUAUGGAAAAAAGAAAAAGGAAUCAAUGCCAGAAAACAUAAGUGAGAUGCUCAGUUGGCAAUUAAUAUGCCCCUAAGUGUUAAAGGGAAAGGUUACUCAUAAAUGCUGAGGGCCCUGUUUCGCCAAGCACAUGGGUGGCCCCAUCGGGCACAGAUCCACUUAUUUAGUGACCUCUCCAGACAAACAGAUCUCAAUGUUUAUUGUGUAAUGUGUGUUCUCAUAAAUAGAACAGUGGUAAGUAAUACUUCGUGGAACUUUCUCUGUUCUACAAUAUUUAAUUACUGUCAGGCACAGAGCAUUUCAUGUAUUUUAUAGACCUAAAUUACAUUUCAGACAAAUCAUUUUAAAUUCUGUUUUUCUCUU